UGAGGAGUGAGUUCUGGGGGUUCAAUGGGAUAUCUAGCCGGGUGGCUUGUCUACCACGAUCACGUGUAAGCAAGUUGAUUGGUUGCAGUUUCAGUUCAUCAUCAAAUGGCAAUGGUAGCAUGGCUGAGAAUUUUAGUGAAAGCGAUGCUGAUUAUGUGAAUUCUAGCGUGGUUGAAGCUGGUAUGCUAAUUUUGUUGAUCAGGGCGAUAUGUGUGCUGUGUUUUGACAUUUUGUUUGCUGUAUAGUGGUGUGUUGUUUGUUUUUGUACAAGUGGAGUAAACUAUUUCUUCACUUAACAUUGAUGGAAAAGAGUGGAUCUUGCUGAAGUUCCAACUUUUUUCUGGAAAUGGUUUUCCACGAUAUGAUGAAGUAAUAUUUCCUGAAAAAUUUUCCCCAUCUAUUCUGCUAGAUUUCUGUAAUAGUACUGUUUUGCUAAAUUUGCAAGACAGUCAAUCUUUCAACAUUUAAGGGAUCAACGAAGCACGCUGCCAAGUCUCAACACAUGUCAAAGUAAAAGUGAUACAAUUUUUGUGGUGACUUUCCUAUUAUCCUGUGUAGUUGAAGUGCGAAGUGGGAAAGAUGGUUUCGUGAUCAAGAUGAGAGAUGGCAGACAUUUGAAAUGCGUCCCCAGCAAUCCACAGUGCGGUCAUAUACCUGAUUAUGCUCCACAACCAGCGAUUGUGCUAAGAAUGGAGGAUGGAACUGGGCUGCUUCUUCCUAUAAUUGUUU
rnacentral:lncRNA from 1 species